UCCCAGUUGCUCAGUGGGUAAAGUCUCUGCCUGCAAUGCAGGAGACGUGGGUUCAAUCCCUAGGUUGGGAA
rnacentral:tRNA from 1 species